rnacentral:rRNA from 1 species
UACAGGGGGGGUAAGCGUUGUUCGGAAUUACUGGGCGUAAAGGGCUCGUAGGUGGCCAACUAAGUCAGACGUGAAAUCCCUCAGCUUAACUGGGGAACUGCGUCUGAUACUGGAUGGCUUGAGUUUGGGAGAGGGACGCGGAAUUCCAGGUGUAGCGGUGAAAUGCGUAGAUAUCUGGAGGAACACCGGUGGCGAAGGCGGCGUCCUGGACCAACACUGACACUGAUGAGCGAAAGCCAGGGGAGCAAACGGG